GACGAACGCUGGCGGCGUGCUUAACACAUGCAAGUCGAACGGAAAGGCCCUUUCGGAGGUACUCGAGUGGCGAACGGGUGAGUAACACGUGGGUGAUCUGCCCUGCACUCUGGGAUAAGCCUGGGCAACUGGGUCUAAUACCGGCCAGGACCGCACUUUAGCGUGUGUGGUGGAAAGUUUUUUCGGUGUAGGAUGAGGCCGCGGCCUAGCAGCUUGUUGGUGGGGUAAUGGCCUACCAAGGCGGCGACGGGUAGCCGGACUGGGGGGUUGGUCGGCCACAAUGGGGCUGGGGUACGGCCCAGACUCCUACGGGGGGCAGCAGGUGGGAAUUUUGCACAAUGGGCGCGAGCCUGAUGCAGCGACGCCGCGUGGGGGAAGACGGCCUUCGGGUUGUAAACUCCUUUCGCCAGGGGCGAAGCGUUUUGUGACGGUACCGGGUGAAGAAGCACCGGCUAACUACGUG
rnacentral:rRNA from 1 species